rnacentral:rRNA from 1 species
GACGAACGCUGGCGGCGUGCCUAAUACAUGCAAGUAGGACGCAGUUGCGAACGGGUGAGUAACGCGUAGGUAACUGCCUAUUAGAGGGGGAUAACUAUUGGAAACGAUAGCUAAUACCGCAUACUAGUAGAUGGACCUGCGGUGUAUUAGCUAGUAGGUAGGGUAAUGGCCUACCUAGGCGACGAGACAUAGCCGAGCUGCGAGGGGGAUCGGCCACACUGGGAAUGAGAAACGGCCCAGACUCCUACGGGGGGCAGCAGUAGGGAAUCUUCGGGCAUGGGGGGAACCCUGACCGAGCAACGCCGGGGGAGUGAAGAAGGUUUUCGGAUCGUAAAGCUCUGUUGUUAAGGAAGCGGUACUUAACCAGAAAGGGACGGCUAACUACGUGCCAGCCGCCGCGGUAAUUC